GAUUUCAAUUGAAAAAGUCAUCAACAACAAAGUUGUAUAACUCAUCAAGAUCUAUAACUUUUAUUUUGGUCAUUUCUUUAUCUGACAAAGUGAUAGUAACAUUGUUCACAAAAUUCACAUAUCUCGUCUGGUUUUAUAAACUAUAACACAGAUAUGUCAAUUUUGUGAACAAUGUUACUAAUACUUCGUCGGAUGAAGAAAUGACAAAAGCAAAAGUUAUAGAUAUUGAUGAGUUAUACAACUUUGUUAUUGAUGACUUUUUUAGUUGAAAUC
rfam:Oryza sativa Japonica Group DNA, chromosome 6, cultivar: Nipponbare, complete sequence.